rnacentral:lncRNA from 1 species
UUUUUAAAAAUGUUUAUUUCUUUAUAGGGAUGAUGCCACGAUAUUAUUGAUCGUGCUCCUCCACCAUAGAAACAAUUUUGAUUUGAGGUCGGUCUAAAAAUAAAAAAUUUAUGUUUUUAACAAAUGAUUUAAAAUAUUUAGUUCACACGUAGGCACAUAAACAAUUACAUAUAAAUGCACAUAAUUCUUUUUGAAGUUCAUGGGAAGUGGUACUUCCGGGGACGCAUCGGUUUAAAAAUUGGAACUAGACCUCAUAGUUCCUUUGACUUUCCCACUAACGAUAGGUUAGGAGAUAGUACUUUAUUUUUUUUAAAAAUAAUGUCACAAUCAAUCCAAAAUUUCAAAGGAAGAUUGAAUAAUGACUUUUAAGAAAAUUAUGUUGCAAAAUUUUAUAAGUACUAAAACUAGUAGAACAUUAAGAUGGUAAAUUUAUUAAAUGCAAAGGUUUUAAGACGAAGCCAAAUAAUUUGUUAAAUGCAUGACAUGAUUUAGCAUCAUAAAAAUUUAAGAAAAUAACAUAUUUUGCAAAAAUCUUCAUUUUUAUGAGUUUAUUUACAAGCCUAUAGACAUGAUUUCUAGGUGUAAAAAGUAACACAUAUAUGCAUAAUUUUGUAAAUGGUAUGAACAAAUUAAACCUUAGACAUGGUUUCUACAUGAUAAGACAAAUGAGAAUUUAUAAUAUUUUAACAUCUAACAACCUACUAGAUUUAUUAGGAUUUGAUUUUAACAUUUAAAAAUUAAUGGACUCUAGUUCUUAUUUUUUUAAGGCUUGUUAACAAAAACGUCAAGCAAAUUGAAAAUUGAUUAGAUUAUAACACCUACAAAUAUCAAAUCUAGGUGGUUAAAGACAAACCUAUAGGCAUGAUUUCUAAAAAAAAUAAUGAGCAAGUAAGCAUAUAAAUCCCCCUCCCCUAGACGACCCCCAAAUAACUUUAUUAUAUGAUCUUAGGGUUACAAUUGUUACAACAUUCGAAUAAAUAAAAUAGCGGAAAAAAUAAAAUAUAUAGACAUAUAUACAUUCAAACAAAUAAACAAAUCCUUCUUCAGUUAAUCUUCAACUUGAACUUCAAAUAUGAAACCUGUUAAACAAAACAAAAUGAUUCACCUUGUACUCGAACAAAGCAGGAAAAUAGCGGAGAAAAGCACUUGAAUAUUUGCCGAAAUAUUAAUAUAUUGU